rnacentral:lncRNA from 1 species
UUUGUUGUUCUGGCACGUUCAACAUAGAAAUGGCAGCAAUUUGUAAUUGAGGAUGACAUUUCUCCCUAUCGGAAAUGUGUAAACGGAGAGAAAAGAAAGAAAUGGCCAACGGCGAGAGAGAAAAGAGGCGCAACACGUUUUUAUUAUAUACUAUAUAUAUAAGGAAAGAGGCGCAACACGUUUUUAUAAAAUCUAAGGAAAUAGGCUUAGGGUUUUCUGGCGGGAUGAUUAAGGGCAUUUCUGUCAUUUAACUCAAUCAUGAAAGUCACCUCAUGCACGUUUUUGUAGCCUUUGAAUUUUCUCUGAUCCUCUUUAGUUAUGGGCCCUUUAGGAACCUGCCUUCCAAUUGAGAAUUUGUAUUCAUCUUACCAUUUAAUAACACUCAUAAUCACAUCUUAUCACUAUUUUAGCUUUUAGCUUUUUUUAAAAAAAUAAAAAUUGGUAGGUUUAUCAUUAUAAUCUUAUUUUGUGUUAUUUGGAAAUGAGUUUUUCAAUUAAUGAGCAUGAAUUAAUUUAUUUUGAUUAAAUAAAUUGAUCAAUAAACAUGAAUUACAUUAUUUAGUUUUCUUAUGUUGGUCAAAUUUAUAUUUUCAAA